GGUUCAAGUGAUCCUCCCACGUCAGCCUCUACCUCGGCUGGGACUACAAGCACACAUCACAGUACCUGGCUUAUUUAAAACUAUGAAUUCAACAUCAUUAAAUGGGAAAUUGGGAGUGCACAUUAGCACAGUAUUAUGUAGUAUACCUAACCUACGGAUGUAGUAGAUGUAAAUAACCUCAAGUAUAGGUAAUAGUAAAAUGUAAAAUAAUUAGGCAAUGAGGUGUUUCGAGUAUGUUUAAAACCUGGGCUGCUAAUACAAUUUAUUUAGUUAUAAAUUCACAUAGUUUAGUUUUCACUAAUGUCUGUGUUUACUAACCAGCUAGCAAAUUUCCUGGAAAUUUAACAAUCAGCUCUUGGGAACUGGGACUAGCCAGCCCUGGUGUACCACUGGUGAUUACCAAAGGCCUUGCUGAGAAAGGGACAUCUGAACAGGAACCUGAAAGAGGUGAGGUGAAGGCGUAAGGCCUGGGGACAUCUGGGGACCAGCACUCACUGGGAAAAGCACUUGCCUGGGAAAAGCAGCAUCUCAGGCUGGUGUGUCCACAUAUCCAUGCUCUUGUCCUUGCUGUGCCCUGAGCCUGGACAAUCUGUCCUCCUGAUAUGCUUAGUGACAGCCAUCAGGGCCAGACUUCCAGAUGACUGAGAGCGUAGAAUUCUUUAUUUCUCCCAGGCCUCCUUACAUCCUUUCUGGAAAAACAGGUGGCUAUGAAGGUGGUAUGAAUAAAUGAAUGACCAUAAGUAAACAAUCAGUGUUCUUCUGUGAUCCCAUAGCACCUUGAGCCCAGUUGUUUUUAGCUCUUUACAUUAUUAUCCUGUUCUUCUGUCCGUAUCGGCCUCCCCCAGCACCCCAUGGAGCCCGAUGUCAGGCGCAUGAAAACACCUGGCUCAUAGCUGAAGUUCCAUGAGAGCUUAGUUAUUGAAUGGGUCACCAUGACCUCAACCUGGGCUGGUUUAAGGCAUGAGUGGGUUUUAGUGAUCGCCCUUCUGUUGGGUGAAGUCCACAGGCUGAGGCCCUUCUGCUGGAGCAGCCUCGUUAGCAUGAUGGCUCACCCCCUGGCCUGUGCAAGUGAGGCCAAGGAGAGUGUACCCAAGCAGGCCCCAGCCCCAGCCCUAGCUAUUCACACACACCCACCACCUGUUGGGCCGUGGCUUGGGACUUCAUUGAGGCUGCGUUACCUAACCCUUGCAGCAACCCAGCAGGUGGGGAUCCUUAUCCCCACGUUACCUAUGAGGAAAAUGGGAGGACAGAAAAAUCACCCGGGUAGUAAGUGACAGAGCUUUCCCUUUGCUGCAUAGGUUGGGGAAGAGCUGGCGGAAUAUUCUGUAGAAUAUUAACUGUAGUAAUGCCAGGCAGCAUGGGUACAUGCUCAUUAGAACUGCAGCCACGCUUGGGAGCACAGCAGAAGAAAUUAGUGAUUCCACUUGGGGCAGGUGGUCAGGGAGCUCUUGGACACCAUAGAAACCACAGCCUGAGCUCUGACUUUUGGGUGGAAAAGGUGUGGGGGCUCUGGGCCCUCCCACUGGAAACCUAGGUGUCGGUGGGACCUCAGAAGUGAGGAUUUUCAUGAAGCUGGCUCAGGAUCUGGCCCCAAGUGCCUUAUUUAUUUAUUUAUUUAUUUAUCCACCAAAACAAGCUGAGGUAAUAUUUUUUAAAUGUUAACUUAUUUCCUCUGGUGUUUUCCUGUUAAUGCAGUAUGCUGGUCUGAGUCCACACCUCAGUGGAAGGGGUGUCAAGGAUGAAGGCACAAAUAGUGCCCUGCCCCCUCUGUCUUUCUGGUUUUGCUUUCUAAAACUUUGUGUCCUCAGUGGAACAAAGAGGAUUAGGAUUAAGGUAUCUCCAAAAUGUCUGGGGAGAAACAGUAAAGGGAGACAGAAGGUUCCCCCCAUCUAGUUGGGUUUGAGGAGGUAGAGGAUGAAGUUAAUGAGAGCAGGGUGGGCCAGUCUAACAUGGGGAGUCCCCAGGCACUGCAGGUCCCGCAGAAAGUUUUGGGAAGCCCAAGGCAGGAGUGCUGUACCUCUUUCCCUGGGGGAAGAACCCUGGGGGAAAGCAGGAAGACCCCAUGAGGGAGUGGCUGCAGACCCAGAGGAGUCCUUUGCUCCAGCCUGGCAUGGAGGGAGUCGAAGGAUCCUCUGCCCUUGUGAGGCAUAGAGAUGAUAGAGGGCCCUGCCAGACCUCAGGGACUGUUGGGACAGGAACAAUGCCUGUGGGCACUGCUUCCUUAGGACCAGCAGGAUCCUGGGAGUCUCAUCAGAAGCCUAGCUGGACCAGUGAACUAAGAACCAGCUCCCAUGUCUCUGCCCUGAGUCCUGGCGUGGCAUGACUCACUGAAAUUUAGCCACAAUCCCAGGAAAGAGGGUGAGAGAAACCUCAAAUGGAUGACAUUUCAGUUUCUGUUACCAUGGGAGUAUAGUGGCUUCAAGUAAAAAUUAGGUCAAGUUACAGAGUCAUAAACUACAGAAAAUAUUUAUCAAGCCCCUAAGACUUUAGGCACUGGGGUUGGGAGUGGGGAAAAUCAGUAAAUUGGGGACCUGUCAGCGGUCCCUCUGUCUACGUUCCUGAAUUAGAAGUUAUGCCAGGGGUUGGCUUCUAUAGAGGUUCCUCUGUAUGCACGGUAGUACCACUGAUGUGUGUUAGGCACUGACUUUAUGCCAAUCCUUGCACCAAGAACACCCUUCUUCCUGUUUUAGACAGGUUCUUGGGGCUAAAAGACCAAGCACUUUUUGCAAUACCAAGUGGCUGUUUGGGGUUGAAUUGUGUCCCCACAAAAUAUAUGAAAGUCUUAACCCUGGUACCCGUGAAUAUGACCUAACAUGGAAAAGCGGUCUUUGCAGAUGAUAAGAUAUGUUUGUUAGGGUGGGCCUAAUGCAGUAUGGCUGCAUUCUUAUAAAAGGGGGGAAUUUGAAGAUAGGGACAGACAUGCAUUCAGGGAGAAUGCCAUAUGAAGACAAAGGCAGAGAUCGGCGUGUUGCACCUACAAGCCAAAGAUUGCCAGCAAACCACGAGAAGAUAGGAGAGAGGCACGGGACAGAUUCUCCCUCAUAGCCUCAGAAGGAAUGGACUCUGUCAAGACUCUGAUCUCAGAUUGCUGGCCUCCAGAACUGUGAGACAAUAAACUUCUGAAUGGCUUAAAAAAAUUUAAGUCACCCAUCUGUGGUACUUUGUUAUGGCAGCCUAGGAUACUAAUACAGUGGGUGACAAUCCCACAAAGGGGAAAGAUGACUUAAAUACUCCUUCUCAUCCACCAACACAACCCAAUGGUCCUAUAGGCACAACUACAUCUAACAAAUAUUUUAGGUGUGUUUAAACAUGGGCUAGUUAUGAAGUAGAGGAAGAGAUGGUUACCAUGACAAUAAAUUUCUGAAUGGCUGAAAUAAAUUUAAGCCACCAAUCUGUGGUACUUGGUUACAGCAGCCGAGGAUACUAAUACAGUGGGUGACCCCAGAGGCUUUGACUUAAGCCAUGGAGUCGUGAACCACAGAACUAACCACUAUACUGCUGUGCAGCUGGAUUCUACAGAAUAGAAUGUCUCUUUUCUCUCUGCUCCAUUAACCCUUCUUUACUUCUUCCCAUAUCCUUUGCACUAUUUUUAAUUGAAAUCAUCUCUAUUCUUUCUUAUCAAAGACCUCACUCAAGUACCCUGUGAUCCUUCCUCUCUGGGUCAUUGGGAGUUCCAGAAACACCCCUUGUACUCUCGGACCCCAGGAACGUAGCUUAUGCUGCUCCCUGCCUGAAAUGCUCUCUACCAUCUGCCAGUGGCCAUCUAUUAAAUCUGAAUCAUCUUUCAAGUCAGAUUUACUGUCUCCCUCCUCUACCAUCAACAGCAUUAAAAAACUAAGUCUUUGUACACUCAGAAUCUUGUUGGGAAUGGACAUAGCUGACUUCUUAAGUGCCUUGGAUAUUUCUAGAAGGUCCCAGAGAGCAGGUGCUUUAAAACUUCCCCACAUUCUAAGACAACUGAAUCUGUGACUUUAACCUGGAGUUCUUCACCCCUUCUUUCUCUUCUGGUUUCUCAAAUUUGCCUGCCCAUGAAAAACAAAUAUCUUCAAAUGACUCUAUACUUGGCAUAUAUCUACCCCAUUAACAGAUUUUUUUUCAAUCCAGGCAAGAAACCCUUAUUCCACUUCCUUCCUAGCUCCUUCCUGUAUUUUAACAAGGUUUUGUCAUCUCCUUGUGCUAGCCUCAGCAGAGAUGAUUUGGCUGGAUGAGCAUUUUAUUUUGGCAUUUGAAGAUGGUGUUGGUGGAGCCUUCCAUCCGUAUACUGUGAAAGAAUACAAACAGAACUAAACCAUCCAGUUUCAGGUCCUGGAUCCUCUCCAGUUUCAGAUGAAGGCAGAAACCCUGCUCCUCCAGAACUGCAGCGUGGCCAGUGCCCUGAGAGCAGACGAGUGGGGAGCCAGAACGACCGUGGCCGCUUCUGCGCAGUGGAACACUGGCCCUUGACAGCUGCAGGGGUCUGGAGGAGCUGCUGGCCUGGCGCUUUGCAGGGCUUGUGCUGAGAACUCUUCUCCUUUUUUGGAAAACAAAUCAAACCCUGCAAGGAAACCUCAGGCUGGACAGAUUUUCCUUGAGAAGAAUCCACUCUGAUGUGUGCCUCUCCUUGGUGGCUUUCUGCCACAACCUUUGAAAGUUAAGGCCACUUUGUGCUGCUGUAGGCCACUUCUCUGAGGAGCCCCAGAGUCUCUGAAUCUUACAAGUGCUGACUGAAAGAAGCCUGCACUUGCCUAACAAAGGGGAAAGAUGACUGAAAUACUCCUUCUCAUCCACCAAGACGGCCCAGUGUUCCCACAGACGCAAUUACAUCUAACAAGUAUUUUGGGUGUGUUUAAAGCAUGGGCUAGUUAUGAAGGAGAGGAAGGGAUGAUUUAUUGAGCACUGUGGUCAGCAGCCUGAAGAUGGUCCCCAGUGAUCUCCACCUUCCAGAAUUCACAUCCUUGUGCAAUCUCCUUUCCUUGAAUGUGUGCUGGACCUAGUGACUCACUUCUAGCAACUGGAAUACAACAAAAGUGACAGAAUGUCACUUUUGAGAUUAGGUUACAAGAGGACUGUGACUUCCACCUCACUCUUUCUCAGACUUCAGUCUGGGGAAAUCCAGCUGCUGUGUUUUGAGUAACAUUAUGGAGAAAUUUGUGUGGCAAGAAAAUAGUAUCUUCAGUCAAUAGUCAGCAAGGAUCCUAACAUCUGCCAACACCACGUGACUGAGCUGGAAAGUCGAUUUUCUGAGGACUGCCAACAGCCACCCGAGUGAGCUGGGAAACAGAUCCCCCCUUGCCGUUGACCCUUGAGACUGUAGCCUGACAGACACCUUGAUUACAGCCUUGUGAAAGAUCUGCAUCCCAAUCACCCAACUAAGCUGCACCUGUUCCUGAAUUUCUGACUCAGAGAAACUGCUGUAGUCAAUGGCGUGAUUUCGG